GGUGGCUCAGUGGUAGAGCAAUUGCCUUGCAUGCAUGAAGCCCUGGGUUCGAUUCCUCAGCACCA
rfam:Dipodomys ordii contig_33778, whole genome shotgun sequence.